rnacentral:rRNA from 1 species
UACGUAGGGUGCGAGCGUUAAUCGGAUUUACUGGGCGUAAAGCGUGCGCAGGCGGCCCGUUAAGACAGGUGUGAAAUCCCUGGGCUCAACCUAGGAAUUGCGUUUGUGACUGGCGGGCUCGAGUACGGUAGAGGGGGGUGGAAUUCCUGGUGUAGCAGUGAAAUGCGUAGAGAUCAGGAGGAACACCGAUGGCGAAGGCAGCCCCCUGGGCCUGUACUGACGCUCAUGCACGAAAGCGUGGGGAGCAAACAGG